rnacentral:rRNA from 1 species
CCUAUGGGGGGCUGCAGUGGGGAAUAUUGGGCAAUGGGCGCAAGCCUGACCCAGCAACGCCGCGUGAAUGAAGAAGGCUUUCGGGUUGUAAACUACUUUUCUCAGGGACGAAGCAAGUGAGGGUAACUGAGGAAUAAGCCACGGCUAACUACGUGCCAGCAACCGCGGUAAUACGUAGGUGGCAAGCGUUAAACGGAUUUACUGGGGGUAAAGGGCGUGUAGGCGGGGAAGCAAGUCAGAUGUGAAGACCAUGGGCUCAACCUGUGGCCUGCAUUUGAAACUGUUUUGCUUGAGUACUGGAGAGGCAGACGGAAUUCCUAGUGUAGCGGUGAAAUGCGUAGAUAUUAGGAGGAACACCAGUGGCGAAGGCGGUCUGCUGGACAGCAACUGACGCUGAGGCGCGAAAGCGUGGGGAGCAAACAGGAUUAGAUACCCGUGUAGUC